CCCUUAGAUGUUCUGGGCCGCACGCGUGCUACACUGAGUGGAUCAGCGGGUCAGGUUGCGCGAAAGCGUUUCCUAAUCUUUAAAUCCGCUCGUGAUGGGGAUUGACGGUUGCAAUUUUCUGUCAUGAACGAGGAAUACCUUGUAAGCGCGGGUCAUCAUCCCGCGCUGAAUACGUCCCUGCCCUUUGUACACACCGCCCGUCGCUACUGCCGACUGAGAUGUGGGUCCCAAAGUGUUAGGAUUGCCCCGCUGCGAGGCCUACCCGGCCCCGAUUGCGGUCACGGCAAGAAUAUCAUUAAGUGGAAUGUCUUGUAGGGAGUAAAAGUCGUAACA
rnacentral:rRNA from 1 species